rnacentral:piRNA from 1 species
UAUUGAUGCCGAACUCAGUGCGGACACCCCGU